CAUCAGGAAUACGGGGUGCUCUUCCAUCAUGGCGGAUGGAUUUUCGCUUUGAUCUCAACAAGAUAGCCAUCAGAGAGCCGUGAUGCUGCAGAAAACAUUGGUGAGCACUCACUUGCUCUCAUGUUCUCCCUGGAACUGUGGAAGUGCUAUUAUUUCGUCCGUGUCGCUGCUGAUGCUGCUACGCGGAGAAGAACAGUGCAGGCAGCUAAGUCGGCUGCUACACAUGAUUUUGACCAUAUAAAUCUCAAUACAAUUCUGGGUAAGUACAGAGGACCUGGGAUCCUUACCAUGUGAAGAAACUGAAAAUGGUUGAACUGCCAGUCUCUCAAAUUGGUACAUAGUGAAAACAUUUUCGCAGUCAGUUUUUUUUAGAGCACAAUUGAAACAACACAUGUAUAGUUCAAAAAAAAAAAGAACUUGAAGUUUAGCGUA
rnacentral:lncRNA from 1 species